rnacentral:lncRNA from 1 species
CAACCCCUUCCUCCUCAGAUCUGAGCUCAUCCUCGAGCUCGCUAAUGAAUUGCCAUUGAUCGAAUUCUUUAUCACGAUCUUUGUCACGUUCUUUAAGAAAAGCGCAUGAGUUUGUAACGUCGAAUGUCACCUCUUCAAACGUGUUUAUUAAAGCUUUCCUGAAGAUGAUAUCCGCUCCUUGAAACGAUAUAACAUGUAGAUCCACUUUUAAGACAGUGUUAUCCAGUUGAAGGAAUUCUGAAUGGCAUACCCCUUGACAACUGAUGACAACUUCGUCUUUCUCGAUCAGAAUAUAUUUUGUGUUGUCAAUUUCCAGUCUCAUUCAUUGUGCUAGCGAGGUUUGGACAAAGUUGAGAUUUACUCUAGAAUCGAUCAAAACAUUAAUGAUCUUUUCUUUGAAAAACUUCUUGGACAUAAGCCGCAUAUUUUCUAUCCUCCCCUUCUAUUUCCUGCAAUAUGAUACUUGUUUUCUCCUCAUUUUUGACUUGUUUUUCUUCUUUUUCUUCCGGCGACUGCUCCUCAGUUGAUGCUUCUUCUGCGUCCGUAUAUCUCGAGCUUUGAUCAAUAUCGAUAGGAAUAGAUGACGGUAAUGUAGAGUUGGAUGAAGUCGGUUUUAAAUAACCACGAAUACGGUUUACUUGUUCUUCAAGCCGAUACAAACGUUGUGGGAUGUUUAACGUUGUGGUUUGUGAUUUGUAAGUUACGUAUAGGUUAUAUAAUGGUUGUGGAGUUGUGUAAAUAUGAGAAUUUGUAGUGGUGUUUGAAAAAGUUGGUUCGUACCUUGUUGAAAUAUCGUUGGAUGGUGUUGGAUGUUUCCGUAUGACGGUGUUGGUGAAUAUAUCGUUGGUGAAAAUGGUGUUGCAUAUGGUUGGAAGUUUGUGUAAGGUUGUUUCGUACCUUGUUGAAAUAUCGUCGAAUGGAGUUGGAUGUUUCCGUGUGACGGUGUUGGUGAAUAUGUCGUUUGUAAAAAUGGUAUUGCAUAUAGUUGGAAGUUUGUGUAAGGU